UGGGGAAUAUUGCACAAUGGGCGCAAGCCUGAUGCAGCCAUGCCGCGUGUAUGAAGAAGGACUUCGGGUUGUAAAGUACUUUCAGCGGGGAGGAAGGUGUUGGGGUUAAUAACCUCAGCAAUUGACGUUACCCGCAGAAGAAGCACCGGCUAACUCCGUGCCAGCAGCCGCGGUACUACGGAGGGUGCAAGCGUUAAUCGGCAUUGCUGGGCGUAAAGCGCACGCAGGCGGUCUGUCAAGUCGGAUGUGAAAUCCCCGGGCUCAACCUGGGAACUGCAUCCGAAACUGGCAGGCUUGAGUCUUGUAGAGGGGGGUAGAAUUCCAGGUGUAGCGGUGAAAUGCGUAGAGAUCUGGAGGAAUACCGGUGGCGAAGGCGGCCCCCUGGACAAAGACUGACGCUCAGGUGCGAAAGCGUGGGGAGCAAACA
rnacentral:rRNA from 1 species